AAUUUCCGGCUUUCGUAGGUGACCUGCGGAGGAUCAUUA
rnacentral:rRNA from 1 species